GAGAUUGUGAUCUGUGAUGUGUCACCCAGGGUUGAUUUGAUUGAUUUCAGGGUUGAUUUGGCCAAUUUGUCUGGCUUAGGUGAGUGUCCUCUUCCUCACUUCUCGACCUUUCCUUAUAAAGGAGAACCAUUCCCUGAUUAAGGGUAUAUGAAUAGCUGCACUUCCCUUCUAGAAUCUCUAAACAACCUCUCAAAUUGUUCAGGUUUGAGUGGCUAAUACUGUAUUCAGCCUAUCAACAAAUGACUGGUAUCAUAU
rnacentral:snRNA from 1 species